GCCAGGCACAGUGGUAUACACCUGUAAUCCUAGUGACUUGGGAGGCUGAGACAGGAGGAUCAAUAGUUCGAGGCCAGCCUGGACAACUUAGUGAGACCCUGUCUCAA
rnacentral:sRNA from 1 species